UACGUAGGGGGCAAGCGUUAUCCGGAUUUACUGGGUGUAAAGGGGGCGCAGACGGCGAUGCAAGCCAGGAGUGAAAGCCCGGGGCCCAACCCCGGGACUGCUCUUGGAACUGCGUGGCUGGAGUGCAGGAGGGGCAGGCGGAAUUCCUGGUGUAGCGGUGAAAUGCGUAGAUAUUAGGAAGAACACCAGUGGCGAAGGCGGAUGACUGGACGGCAACUGACGGUGAGGCGCGAAAGCGUGGGGAGCAAACAGG
rnacentral:rRNA from 1 species